rnacentral:rRNA from 1 species
AGGACGAACGCUGGCGGCGUGCCUAACACAUGCAAGUCGAGCGGGGACUGCACGACGGAUUUGAAGAUUCGGUGGAUAUGAAGAUGUACAGUUCUAGCGGCGGACGGGUGAGUAACGCGUGAGCAACCUGUCCCUUACAGGGGGAUAACACAGCGAAAGUUGUACUAAUACCGCAUAAGACCACGGUAUCACAUGGUACAGGGGUCAAAGGAGCAAUCCGGUAAGGGGUGGGCUCGCGUCCGAUUAGAUAGUUGGUGAGGUAACGGCCCACCAAGUCGACGAUCGGUAGCCGACCUGAGAGGGUGAUCGGCCACAUUGGGACUGAGACACGGCCCAAACCCCUACGGGAGGCAGCAGUGGGGAAUAUUGGGCAAUGGGGGGAACCCUGACCCAGCAACGCCGCGUGAGGGAAGAAGGUUUUCGGAUUGUAAACCUCUGUCCUAUGUGAAGAGGAAGAGACGGUAGCAUAGGAGGAAGCCCCGGCUAACUACGUGCCAGCAGCCGC